CCUACGGGAGGCAGCAGUAGGGAAUCUUUCACAAUGGGCGAAAGCCUGAUGGAGCAACGCCGCGUGCAGGAUGAAGGCCUUCGGGUUGUAAAAUGCUUUUAUAAGCGAGAAAUAUGAUGGUAACUUAUGAAUAAGGAUCGGCUAAAAACUUGCCAGCAGCCGGGGCUAUACGUAGGAUCCGAGCAUUAUCCGGAGUGACUGGGUGUAAAGAGUUGCGUAGGUGGCAUAAUAAGUAGCUAGUGAAAUCUGGGGGCUCAACCAUUCAGACGAUUAGCUAAACUGUUAAGCUCGAGACCGUUAGGAGUAACUGGAAUUUCUGGUGUAGGAGUGAAAUCCGUAGAUAUUAGAAGGAACACCAAUAGCGUAGGCAGGUUACUGGGACGGUUCUGACACUAAGGCACGAAAGCGUAGGGAGCAAACGGGAUUAGAUACCCCAGUAGUC
rnacentral:rRNA from 1 species